GAUGAACGCUGGCGGCGUGCCUAAUACAUGCAAGUCGAGCGAACGGACGAGAAGCUUGCUUCUCUGAUGUUAGCGGCGGACGGGUGAGUAACACGUGGAUAACCUACCUAUAAGACUGGGAUAACUUCGGGAAACCGGAGCUAAUACCGGAUGAUAUUUUGAACCGCAUGGUUCAAAAGUGAAAGACGGUCUUGCUGUCACUUAUAGAUGGAUCCGCGCUGCAUUAGCUAGUUGGUAAGGUAACGGCUUACCAAGGCAACGAUGCAUAGCCGACCUGAGAGGGUGAUCGGCCACAAUGGAACUGAGACACGGUCCAGACUCCUAAGGGAGGCAGCAGUAGGGAAGCUUCCGCAAUGGGCGAAAGCCUGACGGAGCAACGCCGCGUGAGUGAUGAAGGUCCUCGGAUCGUAAAACCCUGUUAUUAGGGAAGAACAUAUGUGUAAGUAACUGUGCACAUCUUGACGGUACCUAAUCAGAAAGCCACGGCUAACUACGUG
rnacentral:rRNA from 1 species